GCCUUCGUGGUGUAGCGGUUAGCACGCUUGUCGCGAAACCGAGAGGUCCAUGGUUCGAUUCCCGGCGAGGGCA
rnacentral:tRNA from 1 species